GCAUUAGUGGUGUAGCGGUAACAUUGGUGCUCCCCAAGCACUAGCUCCGGGUUCGACUCCCGGCUAAUGCA